rnacentral:rRNA from 1 species
GACGGAGGGUGCUAGCGUUGUUCGGAAUCACUGGGCGUAAAGGGCGCGUAGGCGGCUUGAGGUGUCGGCUGUGAAAGCCCGGGGCUCAACCCCGGAGGUGCAGCCGAAACUCUUUGGCUCGAGGUCGGAAGAGGAGGGUGGAAUACCCAGUGUAGAGGUGAAAUUCGUAGAUAUUGGGUGGAACACCGGUGGCGAAAGCGGCUCUCUGGUCCGAACCUGACGCUGAGGCGCGAAAGCGUGGGGAGCAAACAGG